rnacentral:tRNA from 1 species
GCCGCCGUAGCUCAUCGGGUAGAGCGACCGCCCUGUAAGCGGAAGGUGGAGGGAUCAACGCCCUCCGGCGGCCCUA